rnacentral:rRNA from 1 species
UACGUAGGGUGCAAGCGUUAAUCGGAAUUACUGGGCGUAAGGCGUGCGCAGGCGGCUUUGCAAGACAGAUGUGAAAUCCCCGGGCUCAACCUGGGAACUGCAUUUGUGACUGCAAGGCUAGAGUACGGUAGAGGGGGAUGGAAUUCCGCGUGUAGCAGUGAAAUGCGUAGAUAUGUGGAGGAACACCGAUGGCGAAGGCAGCCCCCUGGGAUGUGACUGACGCUCAUGUACGAAAGCGUGGGGAGCAAACAGG